GAGGGCAUAGCUCAAGUGGUAGAGUGCAUGCUUAGCACGCACGAGGUCCUGGGUUCAAUCCCCAGUACCUCCU
rnacentral:tRNA from 1 species